rnacentral:rRNA from 1 species
CCUGGCAAUGGGCGAAAGCCUGAUCCAGCCAUGCCGCGUGUGUGAAGAAGGUCUUCGGAUUGUAAAGCACUUUAAGUUGGGAGGAAGGGCAGUUACCUAAUACGUAAUUGUUUUGACGUUACCGACAGAAUAAGCACCGGCUAACUCUGUGCCAGCAGCCGCGGUAAUAAU